AGACCCUGUUUAUCCUAUGGGGUAAGAGGAAUUACCCAUCUGAGUACAGAAGGCUGUGAGGCUUUAAAUCACCCAGACCAUUUUAAGAAUGCUACCUACACUACCUACCACUACGUGUGGCUUUGGUUUGCAAGCACAUCUGAGGCUCAUCUGUUCCUGAACUGAGAGACCUGUACAGGACAGCAAUCCCAUAAAGCAAAAACACCUUGCUUCUUUCCAUACAAUGCUUAACAGUCACGGCUCAGUGCUGUAAGUGCUGACUCAUGUGAGUAGGCUUUACUCUUCUGAGAAGACUUAUUAGCUUCAGUUAGACCAUUUAUCCUAACGAGAGCUUGCAGAUUUGGGUCUUUCCAGAAAGGUGCUCAAAGAUUAUUUUUUCAGGGUCUAAGGUUUACAAGAUAUACUUUUCAAUUCUUAACAUUCAAAAGGUUUCCAACAUCCCACAGAUGUGCGUAUUAAAAAAAAAAUAUUCUUCUACUUAUGAUAAAGUAUGAAUAUACAAUACCUGGUUUAUAUUAGUCUAUCUAAAAUUGCUGGGGAAACUGAACAAAAUAAAACAUACAUAACAGUCUUUUAAAAUGUGAUCAGGGCAAGAGAGAAUAGAGCACUUCCAUUUUUAGUAGUGAAGCACAGUGACUCUCCCAAGCCAGUUUGGAAAUACUAAUAAAAUUUUAAGGUCUUUUCUAUAUGGUAGCUCCAGAAAAUAAUGUGUUCUUUAUUAUUGUAAGGCAUACUCUGCUAGGUAAAGGGGG